UCAGUAGGUUUAGCCCAAGAGUAUCCAGAAGUGGCCCAGGCCCAUUCUCCAUCCCUCAGAGCCUGGCAGCCUGGUCAGGACCCUCAAAGGCCAUGACCGUACCCGUAGGGCACCCUGGUGUCCUUCUGACAGGUGGGAUCUUUGUUUCUUACAGGCAAGGGCGCUAGCUGGUGGGAGCCACCCCGCCAUGCUGAUGUCAGAGAAGCAAGAACUCUGGAGAAGCAGCCUCCUGGGACCAGAGGAGGGCCAGCAGCAGGCAGCCCGGAGACAGAACUAAUGUGUCUGGGGGUGAGAGGACGGGUGUGACUGCUGAAACUUCCUUUCUUGGUGAUUCCACAUCACUCCUUUCUGAUCCCUGAGCCUGUGCCACGCCCUGUGUGAUGUGCCGGGGACACCAGGCUCACCCACGCCUCUCCAAGCCUCCCAACAGAAGACAGAGGUCCCCCACAGCCAGAGACAUUUCCUGAAGACAUGGGGAACACAGAGGCAGAAACAGCCCAUCCACCCAGGAGCUGUCCCCCACACUGCCGGGAGCCGGCACCCAGAGCCGCCAGGUAAAACUGAGGCCACCUGGUUCAACAUCACCUUUCACAGAAGGGGAAGCAGCCACAGAAAGAAGGGCCUCGUUAAGAAGUGGAACCUGGGACCCCCAAGCGGUGUCUCUCAUCCUGACUGGGGAUCCAGAGUAGGAGGGAGCCUUUGGUGGGACACAAAGGAACAGAACGAGGCACCAACAGCAAGGGGCAAGCAGAUUCAAGGGCCACAGAGGAGAUGGAGGCAAACACCUUCCCCUGGUCAGAGGCUGUGCCUCAGCCCUUCUCCCUGCAUCAGUUUCUCCUUCAGAAGCAUGGGACUACCUCCCAUCUAGUUCUCGUUUCUAAACCUAGGGGAGAUGCUAUCUUUGCUGCAAUAAUCUUAGCCUACAUCUUGGAAUGGAAAUGGCCUUGGUGGAAAUGGUCUUCAACUCCUCUGGUCCAAGCUCAGGCCCUGUGACCCUGGAACAAUCCCCUUCCUGGUCCUCCAUGUAGGAGCAAUAACAUUCCCUUGCCAGCAGCACCAGCCAUUCUGAUGAUUAAAUGGUAUCGGACUCUGUUUUCCAAACUCAGUCAUUCAGAUGCCCCCUAUUUUAUUUCUUCCAUGUCUGCAAAUGAUUAUAAUAUUUUUAAAUGUAGGAUGAGUCCUUUUUAUUACACAUAGAAAUAGCUACUGUAAAUAGCAAACUCUAACACUGUGCCUAAUUAGGAAAUAAAGGUAACCAUAAAUACAGUAAAAAUGAAACAAUGUUAUUAUGGUUUAACCUGAUAGUGUGGCUUGCAAGGCCCUGGGCCUGAAGCCUGGGCAAUAAGUGAGAGUUAGAAAGGUGUCAAAGACAUGAUAGCAGCAAACUGAGGCUUUGUACCCCACGGUAAAUAGGACUGAAAGCAAAUUCACAGGGAGCAACUGAUCCAUUCCACAACAGAAUGCUCCCUGUCAAUUCGCUUUCCAUUCUGUUGUGUCCUGUCUCCCAGCAGAGACUACAAACUCCCCAAAACCACUUACCCACCAGCUGCACGUGAGAAGCCAAAGGUAGUUUAUGUGAAAGGGCUUUGGAAAUAAUCACGCACCAAGUGAAGGCAGAGGACACACCUUGUCAGCUUAGUUCUCAGCAGCAAAUCAUCUCUUUUCCAGGAUAACCCUCCCUGAUUCUUAUUGAAAUCUCUUUGCUGACCACACUAAGCUCUUCUCUCUCAGGGGCAGUGGGAGCCGUGGAGAGUGGAAUAGACCAGCUGUCUGUGACCUGCGAGGGAGUCCAAUGUCGGAAUCACUCCCCAGCCAAAUGCACGGUUUUAAAAAAUCUAUUUAUUUAUUUAUGUAGAGACCAGGCUAUGAGACUGGCUAAUUUUUCGUAUUUUUGGAUAGAGACAGGAUUUCAUCGUGUUGCCCAGGCUGGUCUUGAACUCCUGGGCUCAAGCGAUCCACCUGCCUCGGCUUCCCAAAGUGCUCAGGAUUACAGGCGUGAGCCACUGUGCCCAGCCACCAAAUGCAGUUGAAAAGAGUUUCUGCAAGAUAAUUCCACAGAAGAGGAAAGCAGUUAUCUGGCUGGGAAUACCUUAGACAGAGGCUGUCCUCUACACAGGCUGUCAGAACUGACCUACUGACCUGCCUGCUGGCAUGAUAGACCAGAGGGAAACACUCUUUCCACUCUUCCCAGACUGAGUGUAAGAGACAGACUUUUUUUUUUUUUUUUGAGACGGAGUCUCACUCUGUCACCCAGGCUGGAGUGCAAUGGCAAGAUCUCGGCUCACUGCAACCUCCACCUCCCCGGGUUCAAA
rnacentral:lncRNA from 1 species